GGAUGUAUGGUGGUGGGUUUUAGCAGUAGAGGUUUUGUCUGCUUUGCAAGCAGGAGGUCAGCGGUUCGAUCCCGCUUGGCUCCACCA
rnacentral:tRNA from 1 species